rnacentral:lncRNA from 1 species
GUCCAUCGCUUCUGGAGAAAAGGAAAGGACCCAGACAGUUUCUCCAUCCCGUACCUCACGGCGCUGGGCGAUCUGCUUGGGACUGCUCUGCUGGCCUUAAGCUUCCAUUUUCUCUGGCUCAUUGGAGACCGAGAUGGAGACGUUGGAGACUAAUGGGACCUAGAAGCUGUCGUGGGGUCACACAGGGGAAGGAUACAGGCAGCCAUUGCUGCCCCUCCCCAAAGCUCUUCAUCUGUCCUGUAACUUAUGCCAGGGUAGUCUGCAGUUCACCCUGACUCCGUAAAUGGCCUUAAUGUACUUUUUAAGGAAUUUGUGCCGAAACCACAAUGAAUGGUAUUUGUGCUGCUUUUUGUAGAAUAAAUAAUUUGACACAGACAUAGAUACAAGCUCACAUUCUAAAGUUAAUUAGGAAAGAAUUUAGGAUGUUUACAAUGAGUUAAUUUUGAAACCACAGACCUAGCAGAAAUAGACUUUAUUAUUAAGUUAUAAUGCACAGUUAGAGGCAAGGGAGUGUUAGCCUUGUCUUACAGCUGUGUCACACUACAGAGUGCCAUGACUGAUGUGACGGGGGCCAGCUGAACGUCCCUAAGUGUUCAUUAGGCCUUCCUCCCUGGGAGCUAAGGUUACCAGUUACUUAACUCACAAUACCCCUCCCACUGAACAUAACAACCAGCUCACUUUUACCCAUAUCUAAAACUGCCCUGCGCCAACGUUCAUCUCUGCUCAGCGAGUUCUCAACAGCUAACCCUUUAGUAGAUUUGUUUAUUCUUUCGUGGAGACAGGGCUUGCUAUGUUGUCCCUGUAGUCUUUUCACUUGCAGUCCCCCUUGCUUUGGCUCCCUUCUCCUGGUGCUAAAAGCACUGAGCUGUCUCGCUCAUCCUGUGUUGAAAAAGGUUGAUCCGAUUUAGAAAACCGUGAUUAAAGCAGAAGGUGUGCUGAGCUGUGUUUGUGGGCCCAAGAUGGAGUGCGUGCGUGUGCGCAUGUGUGAGGGACAGGCCCGAGAAAGACAGAGACAAAGUAGUUUCUUUCUCAAAAAUGAGUACCAUUUAAUAUAAUGCAGACCUAGGAUCUGGGACGUGCAGGUGGUCCUGUUGCCCUUUAAGGCGCCCUACCUGUUGGAUGUCCCAAGUUGGCGGCUUACCUCAGCAUCUACUGCAUCAGGGCUCCAUCUCCUGGGACCGCCUCAUGGCCGUGGCUGCGCUCCUCAGAUGUCUUUCUGAACGUAAGCACCUAACCCCUGGCUAUUCAGUAGUAAGCACUUUAAAAUUGCCCGGCAAUCGUUCAAGGCCGUUAAAUAUUUAAUAAUUUAAACUGCUGAGGGCAUGGACUCCGCAUGACGUUGAUUGUCAUGGCGAGGUUGUGCUGGUGAAGAACUAGCAGGUAGCUUGUAAAUAUACUGAGGAAGUUUCUCACUAAAUCUUUAUGGAGGCUGUGGUUUAGAGUUGUAUAUUUUUGCUUAUUUUUAAACUUCGUUCAAUUCUCCUGCCUUAUAAUCAAACAUUUAAGGCAUAGAACGGAAUGAAUUACAGGAUCUCUCCUUUGGAGAGUUAGUGUCACGGAGUGACCAUUCUGACAAAAUAAGCAUAAAGUUUAAGUUGAUGAAUAAGUAUUUAGUUGCAAAGAUUAUUUUAUUUAAAAAUUAAUGAAUACUACCUUUCAUUUUAUUAUAAAAGCAUUUGUGAAUUUGGGUUUUGCAUUUGGCUGUACAUUCUUUUGGUUUUUGUUUUGUUUUGUUUUGUUUUGUUUUGUUUUGUUUUGUUUUUGAGACAGAGUCUUGCCCAGGCUUAAACUUCAGCUCCACCUGCCUUAGCCUGUUGGGAUUCAUUUUCUUUAACUCACAAAGAGUAUGCAGAGUAAGCCCCAGUGUUAGCCUGGUUGGCAGUGUUAGGCAUAUUCCUAAGCACGGGAAGAUGUGUGAGCUACCGUGUGUGGUGCUGACAGCCUCGCCUGGCAGGUGGGUUGAAUGGAGACUCCUGUCUGUGUUUUAUCAAGGGGGAAAUACAGAGGAGUGACAUUUGUAAGAUUUCACAGCUAUGCAGGGAACAGACUCUUCACAUGUGUGUCCCACCCCCAGAUGUGCAAAGGGUCUACCUAGUUAGCUGAGAAAAAGCCCAAUCAAGUGUUACUAGUCUUUUAGAUUGGCAGCAGGGAAACCUCCACCUAGUGUGGACCAACUGUGAACUCUCCCCGUUCCUAAGGUCAGAGAGACUGUAUAUGAACAUUUACCUUAUAAAAUAUUUUUUAUUUUAUAAUGAAGACCUUUAGACUAAAGAACAAUGCCUCGAUUCUUCAGGCCUCCAAGAGCCAGCCCUCUUCCUAGAUCUGCUGUGUCAGGCAGUAGAGGCUUUAUCGGAACAGCAAAAUAUCUAAGACACAUGUAGUGGGCAGAAAUAGACUCGGACUGAAUGCAUUGUGAAGGGAUAUGCACUGUUAAUUACAGAUCUUUGAAAGUCUCUGUGUAAGUAUGUAAGUUUUAUUUAUCCAUAAAAAGGUAAAUGAAUAAUAUUUUUAUACCACACAAACCCUGCUUUCCAAAACUGGUUUCCCACUAACUUACCAGGCACAUUAUACACACAGCCAAAAAAGAUCAUAUUUUUUUAAUUCUUGACCAUCCACUUAUUUUGAAAUUUCCAAACAAAGUUUCUUAGAAGCUAGUAAGAUAGAAACACGCGGAGGCAUGUCUUAUGGAGAUGUCAGAAAGUGUUGCAUCAGAGAUUGUCUGUGAUGUAGCCAAAUGCAUCUUUUAAACGUCUGUCAGUGGUGGGGUGUGCCUACCUUCCCUGUUUCUGAAGUAUAGUUUACCCACUAGUAGUGGGAUCUGGCACCUUGGGAUUGCUGUAAACCCAAAUCAAAAUAAAAAUUGAGAAGC